GUCUUCAUGUCUGGAAUAAUACGCCGAAAGGGGUACUAAUACCGGAUAUUCUUGCUUUUCAUAAGUUAUGCAAGACAAAGGUGGCCUCUGCAUAUGCUACUGCAUGAAGAGGGGUCUGCGUACCAUUAGCUAGUAGGUGGGGUAAUGGCCUACCUAGGCGACGAUGGUUAGCGGGUCUGAGAGGAUGAUCCGCCACACUGGCACUGGAACACGGGCCAGACUCCUACGGGAGGCAGCAGUGAGGAAUAUUGCGCAAUGGGGGAAACCCUGACGCAGCGACGCCGCGUGAAGUGAGGAAGGCCUUCGGGUCGUAAAGCUCUGUCAAGAGGAAAGAAGUGUACAAUGGCUAAUACCUGUUGUAUUUGACGGUACCUCUAAAGGAAGCACCGGCUAACUCCGUGCCAGCCGCUGC
rnacentral:rRNA from 1 species